rnacentral:rRNA from 1 species
AAAGGAAUAGACGGGGGCCCGCACAAGCGGUGGAGCAUGUGGUUUAAUUCGACGCAACGCGAAGAACCUUACCAAGGCUUGACAUCCCGAUGCAAGCGUAAGAAAUUACGCCCCUCUUCGGAGCAUCGGUGACAGGUGGUGCAUGGUUGUCGUCAGCUCGUGUCGUGAGAUGUUGGGUUAAGUCCCGCAACGAGCGCAACCCUUAUGUUUAGUAGCCAUCGGAUUAAGCCGGGCACUCUAGACAGACUGCCGUGGAUAACACGGAGGAAGGUGGGGAUGAGGUCAAAUCAUCAUGCCCUUUAUGCCUUGGGCUACACACGUGCUACAAUGGGGAUUACAAAGUGAAGCUAGCAGGCGACUGUGCGCAAAUCACAAAAAAGUCCUCUCAGUUCGGAUUGGAGUCUGCAACUCGACUCUAUGAAGUUGGAAUCGCUAGUAAUCGUGAAUCAGCAUGUCACGGUGAAUACGUUCCCGGGCCUUGUACACACCGCCCGU